rnacentral:rRNA from 1 species
UACGUAGGGGGCAAGCGUUGUCCGGAUUUAUUGGGCGUAAAGAGCGUGUAGGCGGUUUGGUAGGUCCGCUGUGAAAACUCGAGGCUCAACCUCGAGACGCCGGUGGAAACCAUCAGACUAGAGUCCGGAAGAGGAGAGUGGAAUUCCUGGUGUAGCGGUGAAAUGCGCAGAUAUCAGGAGGAACACCGAUGGCGAAGGCAGUGUCCUGGGGAGUACCUGACGCUCAGGUGCGAAAGCCAGGGGAGCGAACGGG